rnacentral:rRNA from 1 species
AUUCGAACGAUGAACCACUUCGGUGGGGAUUAUGGCGAACGGGUGAUAACACGUGGGCAAUCUGCCCUUCACUCUGGGACAAGCCCUGGAAACGGGGUCUAAUACCGGAUAUCACUCCUGCAGGCAUCUGCAGGGGUCGAAAGCUCCGGCGGUGAAGGAUGAGCCCGCGGCCUAUCAGCUUGUUGGUGAGGUAAUGGCUCCCCAGCGACCACGGGUAUCCGGCCUGAAAGGGAACCCGCCCACUGUGACUGAUACCCGCCCACACUCCCCCGCAGGCACCCUGGGGAAUAUUGCACAAUGGGCGAAAGC